GAUUUACCUGUAUUUGAGUACCUACUAUGUGAUAGGACAUCACUGAGGAACAGUUUCAAUUUCUUGAUAUUCUAAAACAUUUUGAUCUUAAGGAAACUAUUUUUACAGUUCAUAUCGG
rfam:Pteropus alecto contig36590, whole genome shotgun sequence.